AGUGGAAUAGCUGGGUCAAAUGAUGGUUCCAUUCCCAGUUUUCCAAGGAAUCUCCACACUGCUUUCCAUAUUGGCUGUACCAAUUUGCAGUCCUACCAGCAAU
rnacentral:pre_miRNA from 1 species